rnacentral:lncRNA from 1 species
AUUUGCCCCCAGCCAUUCCUCUCCCGGCUUAUGUGGCUAGACUCACCUGCCUGUGCUGCAGUUACUCCAGGCUUUGUGUAAAUGUGCAUUUUUUUCCAGCCCCCAGUUUAUCAAGCUUUGCUUGAGUCACUUGUAUCUGAAAUACCAUCUGUCACUCUUCCAGGUUGGGAUCUGUCUAGUGGAAAACAGAUGACAGUCAUAUGUUACUUAGUGCUUUACUAUGUGGAGAACGUUUACAUAAAUUAUCUUAUUUCAUUGCCACUAAGCCGGGGAAAGAUUCAGGAAACCCAUUUUAAGAUGAGGACACUGAGGUCAGGGUAAGUGAGUGAGCUUUUACCCACCUCUCAGCUGCUCUCUAGUUGUCAAAGACCAACCCGUGGGGGUGGCUCAGGCCCGACCCCUGCAGCAUAUUCCUUGGGGCCUCCCAAGUGGGCCCGAUCUGCUCACCCCAGCUGUGACUGUCUUUUGACAGGAGGAGGGAGCAGCGAGGCUGCACCCACUGCUCAUAAAAAGCAGAGCUUGUCCACGCCGAGGGCUCGGCUGGGUGGGAGCCUCCCCGCGCCAGGUUCCUGGCCGGGCAGUCCGGGGCCGGCGGGCUCACCUGCGUCGGGAGGAAGCGCGGCGGGGCCGGGGCGGGGGUCUCGGCGUUGGGGUCUCUGCGCUGGGGCUCCUGCGCU